rnacentral:rRNA from 1 species
GGGUCAGUAGGUUGGUCGUGCCACCGGUACGUACUGGUCUCACUGAUUCCUCCUUCCUGAAGAACCGUAAUGUCAUUAAUUUGGUGUCGCGGGGAAACAGGACUGUUACUUCGAAAAAAUUAGAGUGUUUAAAGCAAGCUAACGCUUGAAUACAUUAGCAUGGAAUAAUGAAAUAGGACGAUCGAUCCUAUUUUGUUGGUUUCUAGGAUUGACGUA